ACGGGAGGCAGCAGUGAGGAAUAUUGGUCAAUGGAGGCAACUCUGAACCAGCCAUCUCGCGUGAAGGAAUACGGCCCUACGGGUCUUAAACUUCUUUUAUAGGGGGAUAAAGUGAGCCACGUGUGGCUUUUUGUAGGUACCCUAUGAAUAAGCAUCGGCUAACUCCGUGCCAGCAGCCGCGGUAAUACGGAGGAUGCGAGCGUUAUCCGGAUUUAUUGGGUUUAAAGGGUGCGCAGGCGGGACACUAAGUCGGCGGUGAAAUCUCAUGGCCCAACCAUGAAACUGCCAUCGAUACUGGUGACCUUGAGUACGAAUGAGGAAGGCGGAAUGAGUCGUGUAGCGGUGAAAUGCUUAGAUAUGACUCAGAACACCAAUUGCGAAGGCAGCUUUCCAAAACGCAACUGACGCUCAUGCACGAAAGCGUGGGUAGCGAACAGGAUUAGAUACCCUGGUA
rnacentral:rRNA from 1 species